ACCUGUAAUGUAAUGGCAGAUGCUUUAGCCCUGUGGUCCCCAAGCCCCCGGCUGUGGACCCCUACCGUGGCAUGUUAGGAACCAGGGCACACAGCAUGAGGAUCAUAAAUCCAAGUAGUCUGCAGACAUCUAACUGUACAUGACCAGGGAAAAGCUGGAGCAAAGGUUGAUGAAAGGAACUUCUGUGUUUCAAAUACUGGUGAUCUCCGCAUGCCCUUACCAAAUAGAAUCCCAGAUGGAGAAAGAUAGAGAUUAGUGAACCAUGCAACAGAAUUUUAAAGGCCAGUACUGGGAGAGGCAUAAUCACUCUGUUGGCCGCAUCACUGCAAGGGUAACUGGGAAAAGCGGCCCAUGUGUGCACUCAGAGGUAAGGUUUUGUCAGUAUUUUGGAUUUUGGCUAUUCUAA